GGCUGUAGCUCAGUGGUAAAGCGCUUAUCUCGCACAUGUGAGGCACUGGGUUCAAUCCUCAGUACCA
rnacentral:tRNA from 1 species